GACGAACGCUGGCGGCGCGCCUAACACAUGCAAGUCGAACGAGCGAGAGAGAGCUUGCUUUCUCGAGCGAGUGGCGAACGGGUGAGUAACGCGUGAGGAACCUGCCUCAAAGAGGGGGGCAACAGUUGGAAACGACUGCUAAUACCGCAUAAGCCCACGGGUCGGCAUCGACCAGAGGGAAAAGGAGCAAUCCGCGUUGAGAUGGCCUCGCGUCCGAUUAGCUAGUUGGGGGGGUAAUGGCCCACCAAGGCGACGAUCGGUAGCCGGACGGAGAGGUUGAACGGCUACAUUGGGACUGAGACACCGCCCAGACUCCUACGGGAGGCAGCAGUGGGGAAUAUUGCAGAAUGGGGGAAACCCUGAUGCCGCGACGCGGCGUGGAGGAAGAAGGUCUUCGGAUUGUAAACUCCUGUUGUUGGGGAAGAUAAUGACGGUACCCAACAAGGAAGUGACGGCUAACUACGUG
rnacentral:rRNA from 1 species